GACGAAGGAUCCAAGCGUUGUCCGGAUUUACUGGGUUUAAAGGGAGCGUAGGCGGAUACAUAAGUCAGUGGUGAAAGCCUUCAGCUUAACUGAAGAACUGCCAUUGAAACUGUGUGUCUCGAGUACGGCUGAGGUGACUGGAAUGUAACAUGUAGCGGUGAAAUGCUUAGAUAUGUUACAGAACACCAAUUGCGAAGGCAGGUCACUAAACCGUAACUGACGCUGAGGCUCGAAAGCGUGGGGAGCAAACAGGAUUAGAUACCCUGGUAGUCCACGCCCUAAACGUUGAAUACUCGGUCUUGGCGAUACACAGUCAGGGCCCAAGCGAAAGCGUUAAGUAUUCCACCUGGGAAGUACGUUCGCAAGAAUG
rnacentral:rRNA from 1 species